rnacentral:pre_miRNA from 13 species
CUGUUUUUCGAAUUGGCAAGAUGUCGGCAUAGCUGAUAAUAUUUUUAGAAAAGCGCUAUGCUGCAUCUAGUCAGUUUAUUCA